rnacentral:rRNA from 1 species
AUUGAACGCUGGCGGCAGGCCUAACACAUGCAAGUCGAACGAGUGGCGGACGGGUGAGUAAUGUAUGGGAAACUGCCCGAGGGAGGGGGAUAAAUACUGGAAACGGUAGCUAAUACAGCAUACAAUGGGAUGGGGCCAGAUGGGAUUAGCUGGUAGGUGGGGUAACGGCUCACCUAGGCGACGAUCCCUAGCUGGUCUGAGAGGAGGACCAGCCACACUGGAACUGAGACACGGUCCAGACUCCUACGGGAGGCAGCAGUGGGGAAUAUUGCACAAUGGGCGCAAGCCUGAUGCAGCCAUGCCGCGUGUAUGAAGAAGGCCUUCGGGUUGUAAAGUACUUUCAGCGAGGAUGCGUUACUCGCAGAAGAAGCACCGGCUAACUCCGUGCCAGCAGCCGCGGUAAUAC